UAUAACGUUGGGGAUCCACCUCUUCCCAUUCCGAACAGAGAAGUUAAGCCCAACGGUGCCGAUGGUACUGCGUCACAGUGGGAGAGUAGGACGCCGCCGUUU
rnacentral:rRNA from 1 species